UACGAAGGGUGCAAACGUUGCUCGGAAUUAUUGGGCGUAAAGCGCACGUAGGCGGCUUCGCAAGUCCCAUGUGAAAUCCCACGGCUCAACCGUGGAAGUGCAUGGGAAACUGCCGAGCUUGAGUACUUAAGAGGAUCGCGGAAUUCCCGGUGUAGAGGUGAAAUUCGUAGAUAUCGGGAGGAACACCAGUGGCGAAGGCGGCGAUCUUGGAAGAUACUGGCGCUGAAGUGCCAAAGCCUGGGGAGCAAACAGG
rnacentral:rRNA from 1 species